CCUGAAGAAAAUUGAUGCCAUGGCAGCUUUAAUAUGACAUUCGAAAAGUGACUUUUUGAUUUUCAAUUAACCUUGCACAAAGAGGAAAUAUUGAAAUUCGCCCCUUUGUUCUUGGCUGUGUACACCAGCCAGGCUGUUGUUGGUAGGAGCAGCGAGCAGGAAGGGUUGGGAUGGGAGGGUGGAAUUGGCACCUCAUUCAGGCUCUCCACUGCUAUUUGCACAAAAUGAGACAAGACUACCCUGCAGUAAUUACUCUCUGAAGGGGGAAACAGGAACAUAUGAAGCAAUUUGGAAGAAAAAAAAAAAAAAAGAAGACUUGGAGAAAAAGGGUUGGCACCUACCUCUCUCCCAUCCAAAUCUGAAUACACUGAGCAUUGGACUAUUAACUACUUUGGGAUGGAUACUCUUGACCUCUCAUGUGUUUUUUAUGGAAAGCUUAAAAUGGUCAUGAGAUCAGUCUGUUGUAUGAGACAGAGUGUUUUGAAACCUGAAAAAAUGUUUUGCAAGGUGAAUCCCAGCAUUCAUUCCUGCCAUGGAAGGGGUCGGAUUUGAUGAUCUGCUCAGGUCCCUUCCGACCCGACCAACUAUGAAACAACUAUGAAAUUGUUUUCUGAAAAGCUCUAACCAAGCCAUACCUAUUACUUGCCAGAGCUGAGGGAUGGGAGCACGCCCCACCCCACCUUUUUCCAGUUCUCAUUCUGGGUGCCAGUCUAAUUUGCAGUUGGCACAAAUGGUUAAGGCCAACUGCUAUGUAAAGAGCAAAUCCAUUAUUCUAGCUGAAGAACUGAUGUUUGUAAUUCAUGGAUUUUUUAAGAACCAAAGGGAUCUCUAGGUAAUCUGUUCUGAUCUCCAGUGCAAAAUAGACCAGAAAAUGUAGUUUGGUUAUCUCUGUACUGAGCCCAAUAAUUUGUGUUGGAGUAAAGCGUGUUGCUCUAA